rnacentral:rRNA from 1 species
AGUGGCGGACGGGUGAGUAACACGUAAGAAUUUGCCUUUAGGAGGGGGACAACAACUGGAAACGGUUGCUAAUACCCCAUAUGCUUUCGAGUGAAAUGGAUUUUUCCGCCUAAAGAGAAGCUUGCGGCUGAUUAGCUUGUUGGUGAGGUAAUGGCUCACCAAGGCGACGAUCAGUAUCUGGUUUGAGAGGAUGAUCAGACACACUGGAACUGAGACACGGUCCAGACUCCUACGGGAGGCAGCAGUGGGGAAUUUUCCGCAAUGGGCGAAAGCCUGACGGAGCAAUCUCGCGUGAGGGAUGACGGCCUAUGGGUUGUAAACCUCUUUUUUCAGGGAGGAACAAAAUGACGUGUACCUGAAGAAUAAGCAUCGGCUAACUCCGUGCCAGCAGCCGCGGUAAGACGGGGGAUGCAAGUGUUAUCCGGAAUCACUGGGCGUAAAGCGUCUGUAGGUGGUUAAGUAAGUCAACUGUUAAAUCUUGAGGCUUAACCUCAAAAUCGCAGUCGAAACUGCUUGACUAGAGUAUAGUAGGGGUAAAGGGAAUUUCCAGUGGAGCGGUGAAAUGCGUAGAUAUUGGAAAGAACACCGAUGGCGAAGGCACUUUACUGGGCUAUUACUAACACUGAGAGACGAAAGCUAGGGUAGCAAAUGGGAUUAGAUACCCCAGUAGUCCUAGCUGUAAACAAUGGAUACUAGAUGU